rnacentral:rRNA from 1 species
GACGAACGCUGGCGGCGUGGAUUACACAUGCAAGUCGAACGGUAACAGCACUUCGGUGGCUGACGAGUGGCGAACGGGUGAGUAAUGUAUCGGAACGUGCCCAGUAGUGGGGGAUAACUACUCGAAAGAGUGGCUAAUACCGCAUGAGAUCUCUGGAUGAAAGCGGGGGACCGUAAGGCCUCGCGCUACUGGAGCGGCCGAUAUCAGAUUAGGUUGUUGGUGGGGUAAAGGCCUACCAAGCCUGCGAUCUGUAGCUGGUCUGAGAGGACGACCAGCCACACUGGGACUGAGACACGGCCCAGACUCCUACGGGAGGCAGCAGUGGGGAAUUUUGGACAAUGGACGCAAGUCUGAUCCAGCAAUGCCGCGUGCAGGACGAAGGCCUUCGGGUUGUAAACUGCUUUUGUACGGAACGAAAAGCCUUCUUCUAAUACAGGAGGGUCAUGACGGUACCGUAAGAAUAAGCACCGGCUAACUACGUG